rnacentral:rRNA from 1 species
UACGGGGGGAGCAAGCGUUGUUCGGAUUUACUGGGCGUAAAGGGCGCGUAGGCGGCCACGACAAGUCACUUGUGAAAUCUCCGGGCUUAACUCGGAAAGGUCAAGUGAUACUGUCGGGCUAGAGUACAGAAGGGGCAACUGGAAUUCUCGGUGUAGCGGUGAAAUGCGUAGAUAUCGAGAGGAACACCUGCGGCGAAGGCGGGUUGCUGGGCUGAUACUGACGCUGAGGCGCGAAAGCAUGGGGAGCGAACAGG